ensembl:lncRNA
GUAUAGCGUGUCGAAAUGGUAAAAAAGUCAUAUUAUAGUGUAUCAAAAUGAUGAAAAAGGACAUAGUAUAGCAUGUUGAAUGAAGCCAUAGUAUAGUGUGUCCAAAUGGUGAAAAAGGUCAUAGUAUAGUCUGUCGAAAUGGUGAAAAAGGGCUAUAGUAUAGCAUGUUGAAUGAAGCCAUAGUAUAGUGUGUCGAAAUGGUGAAAAAGGUCAUAGUAUAGUCUGUCGAAAUGGUGAAAAAGGGCUAUAGUAUAGCAUGUUGAAUGAAG